AGCAGUGGACGUGAUGUACAAUGCCAAACAUGCAACAUCAUUAAACACAGUAUAAGGAGUCAGACUGGCAUAUGAGGAGCAAAGGUAUGUAACACAUAUGAUGUAUUUAGCUAGUGAUACCACUACCAGUCUUAAAUGUAUAACUGAUGAUGACAAAGUUUUUUUUCUCUCCAUAAUCAUAGGAACCCAGGCAGUAGCAUCGUUUCACAAUGUUUCCAUCACCAUCAUCAGUGGAUGCCUUUGCCGUCCGUAGCCUGAGAUUUCAGAUUUGCAGCAAAAAAUUAGAUUUUCCCAUUUAUUGGAAUGCUGUGCAGGUCGUACCUUGCAGCCAUCCAUUACAAUGUCACCAAGCCGUAAACAAAAGCAGGAGAGGGAAAGUACAAGGCUAUGUUCCCAAAACACACAAGUGACAUACUUUAUGUGGAUGAUGUGAUCAGGCUUGUGUUUGAUGAGGUAUUUGAAGAUAAGCUGAAGGAAACCCUGAUUCCAAUGGACCUGGCAUCACAGUUUGAGAGACCUUCAAAGGAGGAUUGCAUGCCAUCUUCAGUGUAGGGGUCGUCUGAAGCCAACAUACUGACCAGUCAGAUCAGGAAGCUCCAAGCCUAUCUGGAGAACAACACACGACAGGAUGAUAACCCUAUAGUGUCGUCUUAAAUAGCACCAGCUGACAAAGCUUUGAUAUGCCAUUUAUCUGUAUAGAAUAGAUAGCUGUAAGAAGUGAAUUGAACAAUUUUUGAAAGUAGAGCACAAUAUGGUUACUAAAGUAUGUUUAUUUGUAUAUUGUUUAACAUUUAAAUAUAUAUUUGUAAUAAAUAAAAAAACUUUUGACUGAGUACUAUAUUUUCUUAGCCUGGUAAUACCAUCCUCUGCUAUUUUGCUUCGCUUCAUAGACAGAGUCUGGCUGGGCAUAAUUGACAAUCGUUUUCCUUCUCGUGGGAGGGGCUUGUCUGAAGUUUAAAAUCAUUGGUCUAAACGUAAGCCAAUCACACAUAACAUUUGGAUAUGAUGUGCUUUAUGCGCCGGAUCAGCCGCAUCGAAUCUCUGCUGUAAAAUACACGUAUGAUGUGAAAACAAACCCCAUCGAGCGAAAUACCAGAGUUAACAUGGCUAUGAACGACUUUUGCAGAUUAUGUAAAGUAAAUCGGGCCAGAGCUAGUUGAACACUAUCCUUACGGUGGCUUUCCACUCACGUCUAACGGGAGGAAAGCCCCUCUCUCCUCUCAAACUCUUCCACCAGACAACCAUAAC